rnacentral:rRNA from 1 species
UAGGGAAUUUUCGUCAAUGGGCGCAAGCCUGAACGAGCGAUGCCGCGUGAGUGAAGAAGGCCUUCGGGUCGUAAAGCUCUGUUGCGGGGGAAAAAAGGCAGCAUCAGGAAAUGGGUGCUGACUGAUGGUCCGCCCGCCAGAAAGUCACGGCUAACUACGUGCC